ensembl:snRNA U1 U1 spliceosomal RNA
AUACUUACCUGGCAGGGGAGAUACCAUGAUCACGAAGGUGGUUUUCCCAGGGCGAGGCUUAUCCAUUGCACUCCGGAUGUGCUGACCCCUGCGAUUUCCCCAAAUGUGGGAAACUCGACUGCAUAAUUUGUGGUAGUGGGGGAUAAAAAAAAAAAAGUCAUAAAAACCACUU